GAUGAACGCUGGCGGCGUGCCUAAUACAUGCAAGUCGAGCGGACGGACGAGAAGCUUGCUUCUCUGAUGUUAGCGGCGGACGGGUGAGUAACACGUGGAUAACCUACCUAUAAGACUGGGAUAACUUCGGGAAACCGGAGCUAAUACCGGAUAAUAUUUUGAACCGCAUGGUUCAAAAGUGAAAGACGGUCUUGCUGUCACUUAUAGAUGGAUCCGCGCUGCAUUAGCUAGUUGGUAAGGUAACGGCUUACCAAGGCACCGAUGCAUAGCCGACCUGAGAGGGUGAUCGGCCACACUGGAACUGAGACACGGUCCAGACUCCUACGGGAGGCAGCAGUAGGGAAUCUUCCGCAAUGGGCGAAAGCCUGACGGAGCAACGCCGCGUGAGUGAUGAAGGUCUUCGGAUCGUAAAACUCUGUUAUUAGGGAAGAACAUAUGUGUAAGUAACUGUGCACAUCUUGACGGUACCUAAUCAGAAAGCCACGGCUAACUACGUG
rnacentral:rRNA from 1 species